rnacentral:lncRNA from 1 species
GGACGCUACAGGACAAGUUUAUUUCUGCAUGCUUCUAACAUCCUCAGAGCCAGCCUCCUGAGCUGGGACAGGAAGCCAGGUGCCCCAGGUCAAGCACAAGGAGCGGCCAGUCCUGUUCCUGGCUGUGGUCUGAUUAGCACAGGCUGCUCUUGUCCUGACAUCAUGCCACAGUGAGUGACCUCUGCGGUCUCCCAGAGAUGGGGACGAUUACAUAACCGGAGCAAUUAUGCAAAAGGAGUUGGGCCUGCAGCCUGGAACGGAGGGGAAGCACUGAGGACAAAGACAGAGGAACCAUUCAACUGGAUCCAGCAUCCAGGCCACAGCACAAAUCACUCUCAGGAAACUUCCGGGCUUCUCCUGGGCUCUUCUGAGGCAUCCCAUCACCUCAUCCUAAGAAGACAAACAGUGACUUCAAGGUUGCUUCAGAACCACAUCCAAAGUAAGGGUUCAACAGACACUGCUGAUUGAGCAAGUGACUCAAGUUGGGACUGCAGAGCCAUGAGGCUCCUCCUUUGGGGUGCAUUCCAAGUGGAUGGAGAAGGCUGGUGUGGCAGAAAAGAAACAGACCUUGGACUCAGGAAGAAUUGGGGUCUAAUUGUAGCUCUGCCUCUACCAGGUAGGUGAAAACCAGUUAAAAGUACCCAAGCUUCAGUGUG